rnacentral:tRNA from 1 species
GCCACCUUAGCUCAUUUGGUAGAGCGAUACUUUCGUAAAGUAUAGGCGCCGGGUUCGAAACCCGGAGGUGGCU